rnacentral:rRNA from 1 species
UACGUAGGGGGCAAGCGUUGUCCGGAAUUACUGGGCGUAAAGCGUGUGUAGGCGGCCAUGUAAGUCGGAUGUGAAAGCCCCAGGCUCAACCUGGGAAGUGCACUCGAUACUGCGUGGCUUGAGUAUCGGAGAGGUUGGUGGAAUUCUCGGUGUAGAGGUGAAAUUCGUAGAUAUCGAGAGGAACACCGGUGGCGAAGGCGGCCAACUGGACGAAUACUGACGCUGAGACACGAAAGCGUGGGGGAGCAAACAGG